rnacentral:SRP_RNA from 1 species
GCUGGGCACAGUGGCAUACGUCUCUAAUCCCAGCUACCCGUGAAGCUGAGACAGGAGGAUGACUUGAGCCCAGGAACUCUGGGUUGUAGUGUGCUAUGCCAGUUGAGUGUCCGCACUAAGUCUGGCAUCAAUAUGGUGACCUCCCGGGUGUGGGGAACUACCAGGAUGCCUAAGGAGAGGUGCACCAGCCCAGGUCAGAAAGGGAGCAGGUCAAAACUCCCAUGCUGAUCAAUAGUGGAAUCGUACCUGUGAAUAGCCACUGCACUCCAGCCUGGGUAAUAUAGCAAGACCCUAUCUCUG